ACAACUCUAGCAAACCGAUCAAAUAGAUUCAUACGAGCUCCAAGGGCACCCCCACCAUGACUGUUACACCUGGAUCUAUUAGAACGAGUAAGCUGUAGCCCAGCAAGUUUUAGAGCUCCCACUGCAAGUGAUUACAAUUUAAGCUCUAAAAGGCGGCGCUUUAACAAAAACAACAACCCUAUUACAAGAUGAAAUAGAAGGUGCUGAAGCCAUACUUAUCCCUGUUAUAGGUGUUCUAAUUGCCAUUUUGGUUUGACAGAACCAACAAAAGGGUACCCAAAAUUGCAACUUUUUGUAUAUACAACACUA